GACGAACGCUGGCGGCGUGCUUAACACAUGCAAGUCGAGCGGAGCGGCGAACGGGUGAGUAACGCGUGAGUAACUGACCCCCUCUCUGGGAUAACAGUUGGAAACGGCUGCUAAUACCGGAUAGUGGGGGAUGACUCGCGAGCUAUCAGCUUGUUGGUGGGGUAGUGGCCUACCAAGGCGACGACGGGUAGCCGGCCUGGGAGGGCGACCGGCCACAAUGGGCGGGGAUACGGCCCAAACCCGUACGGGAGGCAGCGGGUGGGAAUAUUCCACAAUCGGGGAAACCCUGAUGAAGAAACGCCGCGGGCGUGAUGAAGGCCUUCGGGCUGUAAACCGCUUUCAGCCAUGACGCGGUAGUGGCAGAAGAAGCACCGGCUAACUACGUGCCAGCAGCCGCGGUAAUAC
rnacentral:rRNA from 1 species